rnacentral:rRNA from 1 species
AUUGAACGCUGCGGCAGGCUUAACACAUGCAAGUCGAGCGAGCGGCGGACGGGUGCGUUAUGCUUAGGUAUCUGCCUAUUAGCGGGGGACAACAUCACGAACGGGAUGCUCAUACCGCAUACUUUUAGAUGAGCCUAAGUCGGAUUAGCUAGCUGGUGGGGUAAAGGCCUACAAAGGCGACGAUCUGUAGCGGGUCUGAGAGGAUGAUCCGACAAACUGGGACUGAGAGACGGCCCAGACUCCUACGGGAGGGAGGAGUGGGGAAUAUUGGACAAUGGGCGGAAGCCUGAUGCAGCAAUGCCGCGGGUAUGAAGAAGGCAUUAUGGUUGGAAAGCACUUUAAGCGAGGAGGCGUUACCCGCAGAAGAAGCACCGGCUAACUCCGUGCCAGCAGCCGCGGUAAUUC